rnacentral:rRNA from 1 species
ACUACGGGUGGCAGCAGUGGGGGAUAUUGCACAAUGGGCGAAAGCCUGAUGCAGCGACGCCGCGUGAGGGAAGACGGUCUGAGGAGUGUAAAACUCUGUCUGUGGGGAAGAAAACAGACGGUACCCAAAGAGGAAGCUCCGUCUAACUACGUGACAGCAGCCGCGGUAAUACGUAGGGAGCGAGCGUUGUCCGGAAUUACUGGGUGUAAAGGGAGCGGAGGCGGGCUUGUCAGUUGACUGUCGAAUCCACCGGCUCAACCGGUGAUCGCGUUCAAAACUGCAGGUCGUUCGUGAAGUAGGGGCAGGCGGAAUUCCUGGUGUAGCGGUGACAUGCAUAGAUAUUAGG